AUGCCAAUAUCUUCUACCACCCAUGACAGAACCUCUCCCACUGUGUUCAUGUACAAAUGCAUAUGUGUGAGACCCUACCUUUCACAGAAUCACAGAAUCACUGAGGUUGGAAGGGACCUSUGGAGAUCAUCUAGUCCAACCCCCCUGCUCAAGCAGGGUCACCUAGAGCACAUUGCACAGGAUUGCAUCCAGGCACGUUUUGAAUAUCUCCAGAGAAGGAGACUCCACAACCUCUCUGGGCAACCUCUUCCAGUGCUCUGUCACCCUCACAGUGAAAAAGUUUUUCCUCAKCUUCAGAUGAGGAUGAUCUGUGUGCGGUCACAGGGCUAUGAUCUCAUUGCAAUUACAGAAACAUGGUGGGAUAGCUCACAUGACUGGAGUGCUGUCAUGGAUGGCUACGUGCUUUUUAGGAAAGACAGGCCAGGAAAGCGAGGUGGUGGAGUUGCUGACCUGCUGGAAAGAAGCUCUGCUGAGAAGGACCUGGGAGUGCUGGUGGACACCAAGUUAAGCAUGAGCCAGCAAUGUGCCCUUGUGGCCAAGGAGGCCAGUGGUAUCCUGCGGUGCAUCAGGAAGAGUGUUGCCAGCAGGUCGAGGGAGGUGAUUCUCCCCCUCUACUCAGCCCUGGUGAGGCCACAUCUGGAGUACUGCGUCCAGUUCUGGGCUCCCCAGUACAAGAGGGAUGUGGCACUACUGGAGCAAGUCCAGCGGAGGGCUACAAAGAUGAUUAGGGGACUGGAGCAUCUCCCCUAUGAGAAAAAGCUGAGAGAGCUGGGCCUGUUUAGCUUGGAGAAGAGAAGGCUGAGAGGAGAUCUUAUAAAUGUAUACAAAUAUCUAAAGGGAGUGUGUCAAGAGGAUGGGGCCGGACUCUUUUCAGUGGUGCCCAGCGACAGGACGCAAGGCAAUGGGCACAAACUGAAACACAGACAAUUCCACCUGAACAUGAGGAAAAACUUUUUCACUGUGAGGGUGACAGAGCACUGGAACAGGUUGCCCAGAGAGGUUGUGGUCUCCUUCUCUGGAGAUAUUCAAAACGUGCCUGGAUGCAAUCCUGUGCAAUGUGCUCUAGGUGACCCUGCUUGA
rnacentral:lncRNA from 1 species